rnacentral:rRNA from 1 species
CGGACGGGUGAGUAUCACGUGGGAACCUACCCUAAGGUGAGGAAUACCGGCGAGAAAUCGCCGACAAGACCGCAUAGCCUUCUUUCUUUGACGAGGGAGAAGGAAAGUCCUUUCGGGGAUGCCUUGGGAUGGGCCUGCGCCCGAUUAGCUAGUUGGUGGGGUAAAAGCCUACCAAGGCGACGAUCGGUAGCUGGUCUGAGAGGAUGAUCAGCCACACUGGGAUUGAGAACGGCCCAG